ACCCGCUGAACUUAAGCAUAUCAAUAAGCGGAGGAAAAGAAACCAACAGGGAUUGCCUCAGUAACGGCGAGUGAAGCGGCAAGUGCUCAAAUUUUAAAUCUGGCGUCUACGACGUCCCGAGUUGUAAUUUGGAGAGGCAUCUUCGGGGGCAGCGUCAGACUAUGUUCCUUGGAACAGGACGUCGCAGAGGGUGAGAAUCCCGUGUCUGCCUGGCUGUCUGAUCCCUUGUGAAGUGCCUUCUACGAGUCGAGUUGUUUGGGAAUGCAGCUCCAAGUGGGUGGUAAAUUUCAUCUAAAGCUAAAUAUGGGCGAGAGACCGAUAGCGCACAAGUAGAGUGAUCGAAAGAUGAAAAGCACUUUGAAAAUAGAGUUAAAAAGUACGUGAAAUUGUUGAAAGGGAAGCGCUUGAGACCAGACUCAGCCCCUAGCAAACAUCCUUCCCUACUCCAGGGAGGUGCACUUGCAUUGGGGCUGGGCCAGCGUCGGUUAGUGUGGUGGGACAAAGGCGUAGGGAAUGUGGCUCCUCUCGAGGAGUGUUAUAGUCCUGCGUGCAAUGCCACCUAUGCUGACUGAGGACCGCGCCUUGGCGAGGAUGCUGGCACAAUGGUCUUCAGCGACCCGUCUUGAAACACGG
rnacentral:rRNA from 1 species